rnacentral:rRNA from 1 species
GACGAUAACUGACGUUGAGGCUCGAAGGCGUGGGGAGCAAACAGGAUUAGAUACCCUGGUAGUCCACGCGGUAAACGAUGAAUACUAGGUGUUGGCAUCCAAAGGAUGUCGGUGCCGGCGCAAACGCAUUAAGUAUUCCACCUGGGGAGUACGUUCGCAAGAACGAAACUCAAAGGAAUUGACGGGGACCCGCACAAGCAGUGGAGCAUGUGGUUUAAUUCGAAGCAACGCGAAGAACCUUACCAGGUCUUGACAUGGAGAUGACCGGCUGGUAACGCAGCCUUUCCUUCGGGACAUCUCACACAGGUGGUGCAUGGUUGUCGUCAGCUCGUGUCGUGAGAUGUUGGGUUAAGUCCCGCAACGAGCGCAACCCUUAUUGCCAGUAGCCAGCAGGUAAAGCUGGGCACUCUGGCGAGACUGCCCGGGAUAACCGGGAGGAAGGUGGGGAUGACGUCAAAUCAUCAUGCCCCUUAUGAUCUGGGCAACACACGUGCUACAAUGGCGUAAACAGAGAGAAGCGAACCUGCGAGGGGGAGCAAAUCUUCAAAUAACGUCUCAGUUCGGACUGUAGUCUGCAACCCGACUACACGAAGCUGGAAU